GAUGAACGCUGGCGGCGUGCCUAAUACAUGCAAGUCGAGCGAACAGAUAAGGAGCUCGCUCCUUUGACGUUAGCGGCGGACGGGUGAGUUACACGUGGAUAACCUACCUAUAAGACUGGGAUAACUUCGGGAAACCGGAGCUAAUACCGGAUAACAUAUUGAACCGCAUGGUUCAAUAGUGAAAGGCGGCUUUGCUGUCACUUAUAGAUGGAUCCGCGCCGUAUUAGCUAGUUGGUAAGGUAACGGCUUACCAAGGCAACGAUACGUAGACGACCUGAGAGGGUGAUCGGCCACACUGGAACUGAGACACGGUCCAGACUCCUACGGGAGGCAGCAGUAGGGAAUCUUCCGCAAUGGGCGAAAGCCUGACGGAGCAACGCCGCGUGAGUGAUGAAGGUCUUCGGAUCGUAAAACUCUGUUAUCAGGGAAGAACAAAUGUGUAAGUAACUGUGCACAUCUUGACGGUACCUGAUCAGAAAGCCACGGCUAACUACGUG
rnacentral:rRNA from 1 species